rnacentral:rRNA from 1 species
UACAUAGGGGGCAAGCGUUGUCCGGAAUCAUUGGGCGUAAAGAGCGUGUAGGCGGCUCGGUAAGUCCGCUGUGAAAGUCCAGGGCUCAACCCUGGAAUGCCGGUGGAAACUGUCGAGCUAGAGUCCGGAAGAGGCGAGUGGAAUUCCUGGUGUAGCGGUGAAAUGCGCAGAUAUCAGGAGGAACACCAAUGGCGAAGGCAGCUCGCUGGGACGGUACUGACGCUGAGACGCGAAAGCGUGGGGAGCAAACAGG